UACGGCGACCACAGCGGGAGUGAUACACCUGGACUCAUCCCGAACCCAGAAGUUAAGCCUUCCUGCGUCGUGAUUUGUACUGCUAGUAGCGGGAAUAUCACAACGUCGCCGGCC
rfam:Arc I group archaeon BMIXfssc0709_Meth_Bin006 APG12_contig000018, whole genome shotgun sequence.